GCACUCACUUCAGCAGCCCAGGUACUGAAAUUAGAACAAUACAGAGAAGAUUAUCCUGGUCCCUGUGCAAGGAUGACACACAAAUUCAUGAAGCAUUCCAUAUUUUU
ensembl:snRNA U6 U6 spliceosomal RNA